UCUGCAAUAUACGUAUACUCGGUUGAUUCAAAGGAGGCAAGGAAACAGCAGAUUGAACAAUUUAAAAGGAGGAAAAAAAGAAAAAAAAGAGGGGGACGAAGGAAGAAAUUAGGGGCAUGUGUGAAAGUUGAUCAUCUUCCUCGAGGCCUGGCCUCUUGAAUUAAACAUCCACCGGAGAAGAAUCAACAAUUAUCCUCUGAUCAAUCGGCAGGGAACGUUGGUCUCGAUCGACGACGAUGAUCAACAAUAUCUGUUAUGGAAAUACCGGCCCUCGAGAACUCAUUCUACGCUGUCUCGGAGCAAGUGUCACGCGCAUGAGUGACACGCAGUCACGGAAAGCGAUGAAACAAGUUGGAAACAGAAGAAGCAGAGAUUGCGUGAAGAAAAACGCUGUGAAUCCGAAACGAACGACUGCCCGUAUGUUUCGUGGCGCGACCGUAUUUCGAUGCGUAGGACGUAGACCUUAUCUAAAAGCCACCGAAGAGGUACUAGACGAGGGAAGUACUCUCUCGCCGCUCCCGUUCGUUAAUUCCUUUUCCACCGAUAAUCCACUCGUCGAAGCCGGUGGAGUUUCGGGCGUGCGGCGACUUCGAGAGGUCUACAAACAGCCUUAACUUGCCUCAACGCGUCCUUGCAUUCUCCGCUUUCGCGUGUCACCCUUUGCUCGAUUCCUUUUUGUCCUGCGAUCUGCUUGCCCUCGCGAGCUGGACGCGACCACCGCGAUUUCGCGAACGUUCCUUCGAGGGAAGCUUUUGGAUUCCAACUACGUCGGGGUCGUUGAAAAAAUUCGAGACACCCGAUGGAAGAACUGACGUUGGCGAAAUGAAAGAUUUCCAGAGAUUUCCAGAAGAAAAUGAAGGAUUAUUCAUUUGUCAACAGAGUAUCUAAUUGUAUGAAAGAAAGUGUAAAGAGAAGCGAAAUUUUUGGCGUUGAGUUGGGCACGUAUCGAUGUCUGAAAUUGUAUUCGAGGCAGAAGCGUACGGGCAACCGAUGGCAAAAGAUUUGACGCGGGAGAUGAAGACGACGGGAUGAACUCUGUCAGAGAGAAUUGUUAUUUCAAGGGAACGGCCUGUCCGUCAGUUCGUUUGUCCGUCGUUCCCGCAACGGCGCGGUGUGUAAACAGAGAAAGGGAUAUACAUACACACACACACACAUACAUACUGACUGACUGACUGGUGUGUACUCGCAGAAACCAUGGAAGAAAGAAAUUGGUGGCGAACGCCGCGCCGAUUCCCCGAGAUGGCGAGAGGAACAACUUGUAGACUCACGUCCAUCUAUGAAAGAACUAGGC